UGCUGUGAAAUCCCGAGGCUCAACCUCGGGCUUGCAGUGGGUACGGGCAGACUAGAGUGCGGUAGGGGAGAUUGGAAUUCCUGGUGUAGCGGUGGAAUGCGCAGAUAUCAGGAGGAACACCGAUGGCGAAGGCAGAUCUCUGGGCCGUAACUGACGCUGAGGAGCGAAAGCGUGGGGAGCGAACAGGAUUAGAUACCCUGGUAGUCCACGCCGUAAACGUUGGGCGCUAGAUGUAGGGACCUUUCCACGGUUUCUGUGUCGUAGCUAACGCAUUAAGCGCCCCGCCUGGGGAGUACGGCCGCAAGGCUAAAACUCAAAGGAAUUGACGGGGGCCCGCACAAGCGGCGGAGCAUGCGGAUUAAUUCGAUGCAACGCGAAGAACCUUACCAAGGCUUGACAUACACCGGAAACGGCCAGAGAUGGUCGCCCCCUUGUGGUCGGUGUACAGGUGGUGCAUGGUUGUCGUCAGCUCGUGUCGUGAGAUGUUGGGUUAAGUCCCGCAACGAGCGCAACCCUCGUUCUAUGUUGCCAGCGCGUUAUGGCGGGGACUCAUAGGAGACUGCCGGGGUCAACUCGGAGGAAGGUGGGGAUGACGUCAAAUCAUCAUGCCCCUUAUGUCUUGGGCUUCACGCAUGCUACAAUGGCCGGUACAAAGGGCUGCGAUACCGUAAGGUGGAGCGAAUCCCAAAAAGCCGGUCUCAGUUCGGAUUGAGGUCUGCAACUCGACCUCAUGAAGUCGGAGUCGCUAGUAAUCGCAGAUCAGCAACGCUGCGGUGAAUACGUUCCCGGGCCUUGUACACACCGCCCGUCAAGU
rnacentral:rRNA from 1 species